rnacentral:misc_RNA from 1 species
AGAGUUUGCAAUGCCCAAAGUCGGUGGGAUAACCUUUAUAGGAGUCAGCCGCCUAAGGCAGGGCAGAUGACUGGGGUGAAGUCGUAACAAGGUAGCCGUAGGAGAACCUGCGGCUGGAUCACCUCCUUUCUAAGGAAAACAGAUGGAUGGAGAGCAAGAAUGCUAAGAGAAGUCCACCAGUUCACGGAAGCACACUGCAAAAGAAACUUUGUUCAGUUUUGAGAGUAUCAGCUCUCACUUGUACGUUGAAAACUGAAUAUCUUAAUUCCAAGAAAAAACCGAGAAUCAUUGAGAUCAAUGAAAACAUUGCAAAGCGACCGAGAGAGUUCGAAAGAACAAACUUGCAAGGUCAAGUGAAGAAGGGCGCACGGUGAAUGCCUUGGCACUGGAAGCCGAUGAAGGACGCGACUAACCGCGAAAGUCUUCGGGGAGCCGUAAGUAGGCUUUGAUCCGGAGGUCUCCGAAUGGGGGAACCCAGCAUGUGCAGACAUGCUAUCCUUAAGUGAAUACAAGCUUGUUGGCGGCAGACGCGGGGA